AAUAAGCGUAAGAUAAGUCUAGAUCUUUCGUCUUAUUUUUAUUUUUUUUAUAAUUUGUAUUUUUAUUAUUAUUAGACUAUAAAACAUAAAUUGUAAUUAUGUUUUUAGUUUUUUUCAAAAAAAUUCAAAUAAGAUGGACGAUUAAAGUUGGACACGAAAACUUAUGACUGCGCUUAUU
rfam:Oryza sativa (indica cultivar-group) chromosome 6, whole genome shotgun sequence.